rnacentral:rRNA from 1 species
AUUGAACGCUGGCGGCAUGCUUUACACAUGCAAGUCGAACGGCAGCGCGGGCUUCGGCCUGGCGGCGAGUGGCGAACGGGUGAGUAAUGCGUCGGAACGUGCCCAGUAGUGGGGGAUAGCACGGCGAAAGCCGGAUUAAUACCGCAUACGACCUGAGGGUGAAAGCGGGGGACCGAAAGGCCUCGCGCUAUUGGAGCGGCCGAUGUCGGAUUAGCUAGUUGGUGGGGUAAAGGCUUACCAAGGCGACGAUCCGUAGCUGGUCUGAGAGGACGACCAGCCACACUGGGACUGAGACACGGCCCAGACUCCUACGGGAGGCAGCAGUGGGGAAUUUUGGACAAUGGGGGCAACCCUGAUCCAGCCAUGCCGCGUGCGGGAAGAAGGCCUUCGGGUUGUAAACCGCUUUUGUUCGGGAAGAAAUCCUCUGGGCUAAUACCCCGGGGGGAUGACGGUACCGGAAGAAUAAGCACCGGCUAACUACGUG